rnacentral:rRNA from 1 species
UACGAAUUCAUGGUCCGGUGAAGUGUUCGGAUCGCUGCGACGCGGGCGGUCCGCCGCCCGCGACUCGGCGAGAAGUCCAUUGAACCUUAUCAUUUAGAGGAAGGAGAAGUCGUAACAAGGUUUCCGUAGGUGAACCUGCGGAAGGAUCAUUGUCGAGACCGAAACACAUCGAGCGAUUCGGAGAACUCGUGAAGCGAGCGGCGGCGGUUGCCGCCGCGGGACGACCGUCCCGGCCGUCGCCUCGUCCCCUCCUGGGAGGGGCGCCGGGGGCACGGCCGGGGACGGAUGAAACACAAACCGGCGCAGCUCCGCGCCAAGGGAAAAUCGAAAGGCACGGGCCCCGCGUCGGGCUCGGUGGCGUGGAGCGUCGUCGCGCUCCAUGCGGAUGGACACGACUCUCGGCAAUGGAUAUCUCGGCUCUCGCAUCGAUGAAGAGCGCAGCGAAAUGCGAUACGUGGUGCGAAUUGCAGAAUCCCGCGAACCAUCGAGUCUUUGAACGCAAGUUGCGCCCGAGGCCAGCCGGCCGAGGGCACGUCCGCCUGGGCGUCAAGCAUCGCGUCGCUCCGUGCCAACUCCGUCGCCCCGAUGGGUGCGUGUCGGCCGAGGCGCGGACGCGCAGGGUGGCCCGUCGUGCCCUCCGGCGCGGCGGGCUGAAGAGUCGGCCGUCGUCUCGCUGGCUGCGGGCAACGAGGGGUGGGUGAAAGCUGUGAGCACAGCCCGCGUUGUCUCGCGCGGAGCCUGAGAGAACUACGGUGCCCCCGAGGCGAUCCCGACCCACGCGCCGAUCUGCAUGCGGCGGCUUGGAAUGCGACCCCAGGAUGGGCGAGGCCACCCGCCGAGUUUAAGCAUAUCAAUAAGCGGAGGAGAAGAAACUUACGAGGAUUCCCCU